GAGGAGGCUGGCAGCACACUCACCCGAGCCGUCGCUCCCGCGCACGGGGCCGCAGAGCAGGAAGACGCCUGCGAACAGACAGACAGACAGACGGACGGCGGGUCGGGGCGAGUCGGGACGGAGCACAGCUCCGCGCCUGCCCCGCCGGCCGCGUCGGAGCUGGGGACGCUGAUCUUUGGGAUGAGACCCAAGACAUACUUCCAAGCAUUUCAAAUCCCAGUUUCAGCACUUCCAGUCUGCAGACUCAUCUCUCUGUUCAAUCAAGAAGCCAGAGGUAUUGAUUCCCAUUUCGGGGACACGCAUUUCUUAGAGAAAUACAUAGCUUUCG